AGUGAACGCUGGCGGUAGGCCUAACACAUGCAAGUCGAACGGCAGCACAGUAAGAGCUUGCUCUUACGGGUGGCGAGUGGCGGACGGGUGAGGAAUACAUCGGAAUCUACUUUUUCGUGGGGGAUAACGUAGGGAAACUUACGCUAAUACCGCAUACGACCUACGGGUGAAAGCAGGGGAUCUUCGGACCUUGCGCGAUUGAAUGAGCCGAUGUCGGAUUAGCUAGUUGGCGGGGUAAAGGCCCACCAAGGCGAGGAUCCGUAGCUGGUCUGAGAGGAUGAUCGGCCACACUGGAACGGAGACACGGUCCAGACUCCUACGGGAGGCAGCAGUGGGGAAUAUUGGACAAUGGGCGCAAGCCUGAUCCAGCCAUACCGCGUGGGUGAAGAAGGCCUUCGGGUUGUAAAGCCCUUUUGUUGGGAAAGAAAAGCAGCAGGUUAAUACCCCGCUGUUCUGACGGUACCCAAAGAAUAAGCACCGGCUAACUUCGUG
rnacentral:rRNA from 1 species